GCUGAUGAAUCGCCCUGUUGGUCUAUGAAUGGGCGUUUUCAGUACACAAGUGAACCUUGUGGGAGAUACAAACCUGGAUACUGUGCUGGACCGACAAACAUACAAUGUUGUGUUAAAGGUCAAGCUUAUUAAUGUCAGCGAAAAGGUGCAUGUCAGGAUGUAAACACUGUGAUUUGCAGGGGAGAGUACACAGCUGGUUUGUGUGGAGGAGGGUUGUCCAGACAAUGCUGCAGAAAUAGUUAUCAUAUCCCUGGCUGAAAAGCAAGCUCUCCUAAACUAUCGUGGAACGGGUCACAUAAUAUUCAAUAUACCCUAACCCCCGAAAUACUUUGCUUAUCUUUCAUUUAACCUAUCUAUUUUUAUCAUGUAGGUUUUUAAACUAAACAACCAAAUAAAUUGUCCAAAGAUCUCUUAAA